CAUCUAGGCUGCAGGAUGGGAAAGCGCAGAGGAUCUAAGAUUGAGGAUUCUGAGGGAAAAGACAGAUCAAAGGAAGGAGAGCAUCAUUUCUCCAGUCAGGGAACUUGGAAUGAGUGGGCAGCCUGUGCUGAAGGAGAAAGCAAAAUGAAGCAGCCCAGGCUCUCAAUCAACACGAUAAUUGAGUCCAGUGGUGGAAUUCUCCAGGAGGAAGCUAAGUAGCUGCUACUUUGGACUCACAACAUCCUGCAGAGAUGCUGAGUGCCUCAAAGAGCCUAAGCAGUAGGAUUGUGGUCU